UUAGGAAUAUUGCGCAAUGGGCGAAAGCCUGACGCAGCGACGCCGCGUGGGUGAGGAAGGCCUUCGGGUUGUAAAGCCCUUUUAGCGGGGACGAAAUAAAUGACGGUACCCGCAGAAAAAGUACCUGCUAACUCCGUGCCAGCAGCAGCGGUAAUACGGAGGGUGCGAGCGUUAUUCGGAUUCACUGGGCGUAAAGCGCAUGUAGGCGGUUUGGUAAGUCUGAUGUGAAAGCCCCCGGCUCAAUCGGGGAAGUGCAUUGGAUACUGCCAGACUUGAGUACGGGAGAGGAGGACGGAAUUCCCGGUGUAGAGGUGAAAUUCGUAGAUAUCGGGAGGAACAACAGAGGCGAAGGCGGUUCUCUGGACCGUAACUGACGCUGAGGUGCGAAAGCGUGGGGAGCAAACA
rnacentral:rRNA from 1 species